UACGUAGGGGGCAAGCGUUGUCCGGAUUUAUUGGGCGUAAAGAGCGUGUAGGCGGUCAGUCAGGUCCGGUGUGAAAACUCGAGGCUCAACCUCGAGACGCCGAUGGAAACCGUCUGGCUAGAGUCCGGAAGAGGAGAGUGGAAUUCCUGGUGUAGCGGUGAAAUGCGCAGAUAUCAGGAAGAACACCCGUGGCUAAGGCGGCUCUCUAGUACGGUACUGACGCUGAGACGCGAAAGCGUGGGGAGCGAACAGG
rnacentral:rRNA from 1 species